GGGUGGUGUAGCCUUCCAUUCAUGUUCGUACGUGGUGAAUCAUGUUCCAACCAUGACCAAUGCCGGCUCUUGGGUAAUCUAAAUGAGGCAAUUGCUUAGGGCCACCAUGUUUAAGGGGCCACCAAAAUAUUUUAGGUUUCUGAGUUUAAAUAACAGUUUCUGCAGAGAAAGAGGAAGAAAUCACCAUAUGGCUUCUACACAAGGCAAGAAAGCAUAAUAAGGCUGAUAGGAUGCUAUGAUCAAGAAACAAGCUAGGUUGCUGCUAGAAACACACGCCUAGAUAAUCUAGAAUCUUUUGAACGUUAUUUGAAAUGGUUGUAUUUGAUAUUCUAUGGUUGUGAUGUUUGAUAUUUGGACGAUGUUUGAAUCAAUUUAAAUUAUAACGAAAUAUCUAGUGUUAUGGAA